rnacentral:ncRNA from 1 species
UUUUAAGCUAUGACGGAGAUAAAAUUAUCCAAUAAGUUGACUACAGAGAACCAAUAUUUGCUGAGAUUUGGUGUUAAUGGGAUAUAAUACUCACUCCAGAGCUUCCUAGUCGAAAAAUUUUUGAGUAGACAAGGACGUAUACCAACGAUAUAUGGUUAGGGUUAACUUAAAAUAAUAUUGUAUGAUUAAUUUACUGUGUUACAAUUAGAAGUUGACUUGAAAGAGAUGUGAUUAGUUUUUAGUCAUAAAGUAAGGUGGUACCGCGUAAGUAUAGUCUUUCGUCCUUAUA